rnacentral:rRNA from 1 species
UACAUGGGGUGCAAACGUUGCUCGGAAUUAUUGGGCGUAAAGCGCGCGUAGGCGGUUACUCAAGUCGGAUGUGAAAGCCCUCGGCUUAACUGAGGAAGUGCACCCGAAACUGAGUAGCUAGAGUACUAAAGAGGGUCGCGGAAUUCCCGGUGUAGAGGUGAAAUUCGUAGAUAUCGGGAGGAACACCGGUGGCGAAGGCGGCGACCUGGGUAGAUACUGACGCUGAGGCGCGAAAGCGUGGGGAGCAAACAGGG